rnacentral:rRNA from 1 species
UGGGGAAUUUUGGACAAUGGGCGAAAGCCUGAUCCAGCAAUGCCGCGUGUGUGAAGAAGGCCUUCGGGUUGUAAAGCACUUUUGUCCGGAAAGAAAUCCUUGGCUCUAAUACAGUCGGGGGAUGACGGUACCGGAAGAAUAAGCACCGGCUAACUACGUGCCAGCAGCCGCGGUAAUACGUAGGGUGCAAGCGUUAAUCGGAAUUACUGGGCGUAAAGCGUGCGCAGGCGGUUUGCUAAGACCGAUGUGAAAUCCCCGGGCUAACCUGGGAACUGCAUUGGUGACUGGCAGGCUAGAGUAUGGCAGAGGGGGGUAGAAUUCCACGUGUAGCAGUGAAAUGCGUAGAGAUGUGGAGGAAUACCGAUGGCGAAGGCAGCCCCCUGGGCCAAUACUGACGCUCAUGCACGAAAGCGUGGGGAGC